UCUAUUCAGUGUAUUAUAGUUUUGGUUUGUUUUUUGUGCGCUAUUUUGUUUUGUUGUUUGCUACAUUCUGCAGAGCUGGUGCCAAAACAGCCAUCAUUGAGCCUAGUAUGGCGGUUCUAAAGCUGUUUUUCCUCUCGCCAUGCGAGGCCAUACAGGACUCGCCCGAGUGCAUGUUAGUGGCGGGCAUGCCUGGCUCUGGCAAAACAACGGGCGGCAUCGUGUCGCCACCAAGAAGAUGGCCCAGUCCACAACGCUGGUGGGCCCACGCUACGACCUCCAUCCUUUACACAGAGGCGGCUGCUCUUCCUCGUGGCUCCUGCACAAGAUUGGCCUGAAGGACUGAGAAAUUUAUCGUGCAAGCACUGCGGUAGCCAACAUUGAGUGGCUAGAGACUCGCAUGGGACUGAACCUUCAGAAUCCUCAUUCACAUUUUGGUGGAUCAUAACUGUCCAGCAAAGUAGUAGCUCGAGAAGCUAAGCUAUGGAAACUCAAAGAUUUGUAUGUGUGCUGAACUUAUCAAUGGAAUAAUCCGUCAUGCAUAUAACAAAGGAUUAUCAACAUAAAAUCCGAAUUCAAAAUAGAUCGAACCAAAAAGCAAAGUUAACAGAUUAUGUUUUCGAUGCAUUCCUUGCUCAAAAUGGAACAAGAAAAUAGUCAAGUAGAAGAAUUUGAAUUGUUACUUAUCCGUUUACAACCAGUCUUUUGUUGAGCACACUUUAUGCUUUGUAGAUCUUUUUUGGUAAAUAUAAUAAUGGAAAUUUG